rnacentral:rRNA from 1 species
UAAGCCAUGCGAGUCAUGGGGCGCUCUGCGCGCAACCGGCGGACGGCUCAGUAACACGUCGGUAACCUACCCUCGGGAGGGGGAUAACCCCGGGAAACUGGGGCUAAUCCCCCAUAGGCCUGAGGUACUGGAAGGUCCUCAGGCCGAAAGGGUCUCUGACCGCCCGAGGAUGGGCCGGCGGCCGAUUAGGUAGUUGGUGGGGUAACGGCCCACCAAGCCGAAGAUCGGUACGGGCCAUGAGAGUGGGAGCCCGGAGAUGGACACUGAGACACGGGUCCAGGCCCUACGGGGCGCAGCAGGCGCGAAACCUCCGCAAUGCGGGCAACCGCGACGGGGGGACCCCCAGUGCCGUGGCAUAGCCACGGCUUUUCCGGAGUGUAAAAAGCUCCGGGAAUAAGGGCUGGGCAAGGCCGGUGGCAGCCGCCGCGGUAAUACCGGCGGCCCGAGUGGUGGCCGCUAUUAUUGGGCCUAAAGCGUCCGUAGCCGGGCCCGUAAGUCCCUGGCGAAAUCCCACGGCUCAACCGUGGGGCUUGCUGGGGAUACUGCGGGCCUUGGGACCGGGAGAGGCCGGGGGUACCCCUGGGGUAGGGGUGAAAUCCUAUAAUCCCAGGGGGACCGCCAGUGGCGAAGGCGCCCGGCUGGAACGGGUCCGACGGUGAGGGACGAAGGCCAGGGGAGCGAACCGGAUUAGAUACCCGGGUAGUCCUGGCUGUAAAGGAUGCGGGCUAGGUGUCGGGCGAGCUUCGUGCUCGCCCGGUGCCGGAGGGAAGCCGUUAAGCCCGCCGCCUGGGGAGUACGGCCGCAAGGCUGAAACUUAAAGGAAUUGGCGGGGGAGCACUACAAGGGGUGGAGCGUGCGGUUUAAUUGGAUUCAACGCCGGGAACCUCACCGGGGGCGACGGCAGGAUGAAGGCCAGGCUGAAGGUCUUGCCGGACACGCCGAGAGGAGGUGCAUGGCCGCCGUCAGCUCGUACCGUGAGGCGUCCACUUAAGUGUGGUAACGAGCGAGAC